rnacentral:tRNA from 1 species
ACGGCGCAGGAGUUCGGCGAGCUGUGCGGUCUGCUCGACCGCGGUGAUCGCCGCCGGCCCGGUGAGCGUGUGGAUCCUGCCCGCAUGGCCGUCC